rnacentral:rRNA from 1 species
GAAGCGGCAACAGCUCAAAUUUGAAAUCUGGCGCAAGCCCGAGUUGUAAUUUGGAGAGGAUGCUUCUGGGCAGCGGCCGGUCUAAGUUCCUUGGAACAGGACGUCAUAGAGGGUGAGAAUCCCGUAUGUGACCGGCUGGCACCCUCCACGUAGCUCCUUCGACGAGUCGAGUUGUUUGGGAAUGCAGCUCUAAAUGGGAGGUAAAUUUCUUCUAAAGCUAAAUACCGGCCAGAGACCGAUAGCGCACAAGUAGAGUGAUCGAAAGAUGAAAAGCACUUUGGAAAGAGAGUUAAAAAGCACGUGAAAUUGUUGAAAGGGAAGCGCUUGCAACCAGACUUGUGGGCGGCGUUCCGCCGGUCUUCUGACCGGUCCACUCGCCGCCGACAGGCCAGCAUCAUCUGGGGCCGCCGGACAAAGGCUUGGGGAAUGUAGCUCCCUUCGGGGAGUGUUAUAGCCCCUCGCACAAUACGGCGCGCCCCGGGUGAGGUCCGCGUCUCGGCAAGGAUGCUGGCGUAAUGGUUGUAAGCGGCCCGUCUUGAAACACGGACCAAGGAGUCGAUUAUCUAUGCGAGUGUUCGGGCGUCAAACCCCUACGCGGAAUGAAAGUGAACGGAGGUGGGAACCCUUACCGGUGCACCAUCGACCGAUCCGGAUGUCUUCGGAUGGAUUUGAGUAAGAGCAUAGCUAAUCGGACCCGAAAGAUGGUGAACUAUGCCUGAAUAGGGUGAAGCCAGAGGAAACUCUGGUGGAGGCUCGCAGCGGUUCUGACGUGC